GCGGCGAAGCGACCGCCCGGCAGGUCCCGGAGACCGGCACGGGGCAGACCCUCGAGUCCGCCCCGAAGCCGUCCGGCGCCUCCG
rnacentral:tRNA from 1 species